AUCCCUAAUGGACCUUGAGAUGAGGAACACAGUUUUAUGACUCUCAUUAAAAAAUUAGUCCGCCAUACAAUUGUGGAAGCUGUGAUUUUAAAAAGUGACAUAAAUGAACUAGGACUGGUGUUUUAUAGAGCUGAUGUGAUGUGAAAAAAAGUAUAAAAAAAUAAACCUGAACAAAUAAUUACAAAGGACAUAUUUUUUAAUGAUUUUUAUGGUCAGAAUUUUGUGAUUAUUUCCUGAGGAGAGUGACAUUUUUCACUAUCUUUCGGGGUUGGGCACUUGACGGGAAAACGAAUCACACUUGCCACCCCGAAAAUCGCACCACACAUGUGCAAGUGUCUCAGCUUCAAAAUGAGCCAUCAUACAUAUCCAAGUUUACGAUAUGGCCUGAGCAACAGAAGAAAACGUUAACAUUACCGCCUAUGGAUAAUCUAUUACGCAUAUUGCCCCAAUUUGUGGCCUUGAAUUUCAAAGGUGAUGGAGUGUUUCAUGGCUCAGUGACCACAAUUUAGGAUGAUAGCUGCUGAAAUCAAGAUAUGGCUAAAACUUCACAGAAUUGUUCAGAAAUGUGUACUAAAGGGAUACAAACUGCAAUAUAAGUGGAAUCUGACAUUAGCUGAUCUAAUAUGGGUCAAUAUCCCUAAUGGACCUUGAGAUGAGGAACACAGAUUUAUGACUCUCAUUAAAAAAUUAGUCCGCCAUACAAUUGUGGAAGCUGUGAUUUUAAAAAUUGACAUAAAUGAACUAGGACUGGUGUUUUAUAGAGCUGAUGUGAUGUGAAAAAAAGUAUAAAAAAAUAAACCUGAACAAAUAAUUACAAA